rnacentral:rRNA from 1 species
CGGGAAAAGCUCAAAUUUAAAAUCUGGUGGUUCUUGUAGCCAUCCGAAUUGUAAUUUAGAGAAGUGUUAUCCGCGCUGGACCGUGUAUAAGUCUCCUGGAAUGGAGCGUCAUAGAGGGUGAGAAUCCCGUCUUUGACACGGACUACCAGGGCUUUGUGAUACGCUCUCGAA